AAGCUCGUAGUUGAAUUUCGGACUUGGUUGGAUGGUCUUUCCUUAGGGAUUGUACUGUUCGACUGAGUCUUUCCUUCUGGCGAACUAUUGUGCUAUUAAUUUAGUGCGAUAGGGAACCAGGACUUUUACUUUGAAAAAAUUAGAGUGUUUAAAGCAGGCUUACGCUUGAAUACAUUAGCAUGGAAUAAUAAAAUAGGACUUUGGUUUUAUUUUGUUGGUUUUCGAGACCGAAGUAAUGAUUAAUAGGGACAGUUGGGGGCAUUAGUAUUUAGUUGUCAGAGGUGAAAUUCUUGGAUUUACGAAAGACUAACUUCUGCGAUAGCAUUUGCCAAGGAUGUUUUCAUUAAUCAAGAACGAAAGUUAGGGGAUCGAAGACGAUCAGAUACCGUCGUAGUCUUAACCAUAAACUAUGCCGACUAGGGAUCGGACGAUGUUAAUUUAUAAUUGACUCGUUCGGCACCUUACGAGAAAUCAAAGUUUUU
rnacentral:rRNA from 1 species